ACUCCUCGGUAACUUAUAAUAUCCUUAUAUUUUACAAGAGGGGGUACUUUAGGGGGUAUUUCCCAAUACUGGGGUUAUUGCCACCAUGUGACGUUUAGGACAAACUGCCAGUGUUCUCCGUAUAUCCCCCACUUAUUGGUGCUAAUGCAGUGACAAUGCUGCUGGUUCACAAGUGGAAUGGGCUUAAGCUGCGAGACAAUCUCUUGGUGCGUUGUGGCUUUAACUACUUGACGUAAAUUCCUUUUCUUCUAGUCCCGACAUGUCAGUACACAUGGGUAGUAUUGCCCCUCCCAGACCUGGAGGUAGGACCUAUAACAGCCAAUCAAAAUGAAUCAUGACCUAGAAGAUCACAUGACUUCCUUCUCACAGUUAUACAUUUGCCAUUGUGGUACAGUAACCAUAAUAAAUAACUUGGGAUGGGAAACCCUGUACUGACAUGUUGGGACUAGAAGAAAAGGAAUUUAUGGCAAGUAGGUCCUACCUCCAGGUGUAGGAGGGGCAAUACUGCCCGUGUACUGAAUGGAGGGACGCAGAAGAAGAGUCGCUCGGGUCUCAGGCAACACAGUUUGGAGUCAGCAAGUCACACAUUGUGCAGAUCAGCAAACGCCGGGAGGAACUCAUUACCGCUCUACAGAACAACGUGAGUGGGGACUGUGUCAGGAGACAGAAGAGAACGACCUGUAUGUGGAACAUUUCCAUUGGUCUCAUGGUGUUCUGGGGGUGCCUCUUGUUACCAGCCUGGCCCAUCCACUACGGACAUUUCCAGCUACUGCCCUUAUAGCUCAAUACUCAGGAACAUGGGGAUGGAAGAACAAGAAGAGGAGUUGAAGUUUGGGGCCAGGCAUUAGAGGGUAUAGUGUAGUCGUGUGAUUGGCUGGUGACUAGUUGUGUGGCUUUGGGUUGAAAUGUGUCCGUUGCAGGUUGGGGUGCGGGUCACAUAGGACACUCCUCCAUUGCUCCCAGGAUUCCCUGUGUUGGACGGAGAGGAGCAGAGAAGUAGUGAGAGACAAUAUGGGGUCACACUGGGACUUGUUUGUCCUGUACAUCACUAGCCCCAACAACUCUUUCCACUCAGCCAGUGUAUUAGUCGGGCUGGGAAUAGAAAUGUACUGGUCAUACAGUCGCUGGUAAAUUAGUAAUACCCCCCCACCCAGAAUCUACUGGAAACUUUCCCUUCAUUUUCUCGUGAUCCUCCUCCAGGCGCAUGUGACAUAUUGGUCCUGCCCAGGGGGGGGGCAGAUCUGAAGAUGAAGAGACACAUGUUCAACCUUCUUAUCCAAAUACAACCUGCCCAACUGCCAGUUAUCCUCCCCCUUCAGCUCUAAUUCCCUCCCCACUAUACCCCCCAGCUAAUAGCAAUCAGUUGUUCUGCUCAAUGGAAGUGCCUGAGGAAUGCUGGGAAGCCUCCUGACUUGAGGAAUGCCCCCUAGCACCUGCACCCCUACUGUCAUCUUGGAUUGGUUAUGUUCUUCCUCCAAUCGGGGCUUUUCUUUGUCACUGCCGCUUGGAAGCAAUGACACUCAUAUUGUGUAUGUAGUAGUGGUUACUGUGCAUGGCAGCUCAGCAGUGGCAUCUAAUUUCAGCUUCCCUUCUUUGAUUGUUCCGUGUUUCCCCUAAACUGUCCAAAUACCCAUUGUCCAAUCAUGAGACUCUUCCAGUA